UAGCUGCGUUAAGCGGUGUGAAUUGCAGGACACGCCGAACACUAGAUUUUCGAACGCACAUUGCACCUUUGGGUCUUUCCCAAAGGUACGCCUGUCUGAGGGUCGGAAUAAAAUUGAAACAUACUAAGGCUCGCAUCGAGAGACAAACACACUAGUUGUUGUUAUACUUUCGUCGAGCAUGAGAUGUUUAGCGAGAUUGGUUAGUUAGCGAUUGCAUGUCUGUCUUGUACGACAUAAAAGCGGCUACCAGCGGCAACACUACAUGUUGUCGCUGCGCUUUGAGUCCUCGAGUUACAAGUCAGCAUAAUUUGUAGUUGCAACGACUGUACCAUUGUCCGCUAAAAGCCAUAAAACAAGCAGCGUUUACGCGCUUGCUUACACUUAUUUUGUCGACCUCAGA
rnacentral:misc_RNA from 1 species